rnacentral:lncRNA from 1 species
UUCAGUAGAGAAUGAAUUCACUGAAUGUGAUCAAUAGAGAGAACUUGAAUGAAAGUUUUACUUACAUGUCAAUCAGGAUCUCUCAAGUUGGAAUAGUGCAAAUUAGUCCUAGACCUGAGACACAACGAGUUGUCUCAUGGAAACGUCGUGGAUGGGAAGGAAGUGCUGAGGUUUCAUACCAAAAAAAGAAACAAAAAGGGUUGCAGGCUAAGGAGAACGGGAGGGAAGAGGUAAAGAGAAGUAAAAAGAAGAAAGAAAAAGAAAGGAGGAGGAGGAGGAUUGUAGGCCAGAGAGAACAAGAGGGAAGAGAUAAAGAAAAGUAAAAAAAAAAGAAGGAGAAUUGUAGACCAGGGAGCAAAACAAAAAAUGAAGGAGGUGCAUGCUAGCGAGAGCGAAAGGGAAGAGGAAAAGCAAAUAAAAAAUAACUUACAGCUGUCAGCAUUUAAAUGGUUUGGGAUGCUGAGCUAGACUGCUGACCUGACACCCUCGUCAAGGCCGUCUCUGAGAUUUUGAGGGCCCUGUGCUAAACUUAAAUUGGGGCCUCACAUAAUCUAAUACAAAAAUACUUAUAACUAAAGGCUCAUUUGGUACACCGUAUUAGACUCAAGAUAGAAGUAAAUAGUCCAUGUCAGUUGUUUGGUGUCAACUUGUAUUAUUUAAUUACCUGACUAUUUUAAACGGAUUGGGCUUUUAAUACUCUCCUUACCUGACUAACUAAUUC